AGUCUAAGUAUAAGUUAUUCUGAAGACGAAACUGCGAAUGGCUCGGUAAAACAGCAAUAAUUUCUUCGGUGAUGAUUUUACUCACGGAUAACCGUAGUAAUUCUAGAGCUAAUACGUGCUGAAAUAAGGUGGGGCUUGCUCCACCGUGCCGUUUAGAUAACAACACCAACAUUUGGUGAUUCAUAAUCGUCUUUCUGAUCGCUUUCGAGCGACACACCGUUCAAAUUUCUGACCUAUCAACUUUCGAUGUUAAGGUAGUGUCUUAACAUGGUGGUAACGGGUAACGGACCGUGGGUGCGGGACUCCGGAGAGGGAGCCUGAGAAACGGCUACCACAUCCAAGGAAGGCAGCAGGCGCGCAACUUACCCAAUCCAGACUCUGGGAGGUAGUGACAAGAAAUAUCAAUAGGGGAGCCUACGGUUCUUCUAAUUGGAAUGAGAUCGAGCUAAACAGCCAUAUCGAGAAUCCAGCAGAGGGCAAGUCUGGUGCCAGCAGCCGCGGUAAUUCCAGCUCUGUAAGCGUAUACCAAAGUUGUUGCAGUUAAAACGCUCGUAGUCGGACUUUGGCAGUUCCGGGAGUGUGCGCGUCGUGCGCACGCUUUGCGGGGACUGCUUUUGUGGUAUUGCGUGGGAUGAAGCAUUUUAAUUAAUGAACGUCCCUCCGCAACCACUUUUUACUGUGAGAAAAUCAGAGUGCUCAAAGCAGGCAUUUGCCGUGAAUGUAUUAGCAUGGAAUAAUGGAAUAGGACUUAGUUCUAUUUUGUUGGUUUGUUGGGACUGAGUAAUGAUUAAGAGGGACAGUUGGGGGUAUUUGUAUUUCGGCGCUA
rnacentral:rRNA from 1 species